rnacentral:rRNA from 1 species
UACGGGGGGGGCAAGCGUUGUUCGGAAUUACUGGGCGUAAAGGGCGCGUAGGCGGCAAUUUAAGUCAUCUGUGAAAUCUCCGGGCUUAACUCGGAAUGGUCAGGUGAUACUGCUUUGCUAGAGUGCAGAAGGGGCAAUCGGAAUUCUUGGUGUAGCGGUGAAAUGCGUAGAUAUCAAGAGGAACACCUGAGGUGAAGACGGGUUGCUGGGCUGACACUGACGCUGAGGCGCGAAAGCUAGGGGAGCAAACGGG